rnacentral:sRNA from 1 species
GCUUUUCCAGAACUACAAGUAAAGGCCACAGCCAGAUGCCAGAGUAUAUAUGCAUAUUUGAACAGUCACCUGGAUCUGAUUAAGAAGGCUCAGCCUGUGGGUUUCCUUACUGUUGAUUUACAUGUUUGGCCAGAUUUCCAUGGCAACCGGUCUCCCUUAGCAGAUCUGACACUAAAGGGCAUGGUCACCGGAUUGAAACUGUCUCAGGACCUCGAUGAUCUUGCCAUUCUCUACCUGGCCACAGUUCAAGCCAUUGCUUUGGGGACUCGCUUCAUUAUAGAAGCCAUGGAGGCAGCAGGGCACUCAAUCAGUACUCUUUUCCUAUGUGGAGGCCUCAGCAAGAAUCCCCUUUUUGUGCAAAUGCAUGCGGACAUUACUGGAAGCAAUGGCAAAAAUGAGCAAAGUUGGGAAAGUUGUGUUCCCGAGACUACAGGAUAAAAAAUACUAUGAUAAGAAAUACCAAGUAUUCCUGAAGCUGGUUGAACACCAGAAGGAGUAUUUGGCGAUCAUGAAUGAUGACUGAACAGGGCUUGCAGGUGCUGAUGCCAGAAGCUUCUGUGCCAUUGCAUUAAAGACUUCUGUCAUUUGAUCCAUGUUCAAGACCCUUGAGGUAUUGUUUCAUCAUUUCUGUAUUGUCUUUCAAUAAAGAAAACAAACAUGUGCAACCAGAA